GGGGAUUUAGCUUAGUGGUAGAGUGCUUGCCUAGGAAGCGCAAGGCCCUGGGUUCGGUUCCCAGCUCCA
rnacentral:tRNA from 1 species